GGGUUUAGAAUGGGGUACCAUAUUCAAUUACGGAUUGAGGUGUUUUAAACUUU
rnacentral:tRNA from 1 species